rnacentral:rRNA from 1 species
GGUAACUCCGGGCCAGAGGGGGCGGGAAUCCGGGGGGGGCAAAGGGUGCUCGGAUGUACUGGGCGGAAAGCGAUCGCAGGGGGGUGGUAAAGCCAGAUGUGAAAGCCCCGGGCUCAACCCGGGAACUGCAUUUGGAACUGGCAGACUAGAGUGUGAUAGAGGGUGGUAGAAUUUCAGGUGUAGCGGUGAAAUGCGUAGAGAUCUGAAGGAAUACCGAUGGCGAAGGCAGCCACCUGGGUCAACACUGACGCUCAUGUACGAAAGCGUGGGGAGCAAACAGGAUUAGAUACCCCUGUAGUC